rnacentral:lncRNA from 1 species
ACAAUCCCAUCUAAUCUCAUUUUACCUUCACUCUCUUCAUAAGAUCUUCUCUUUUUCUUUUUUUUUUGGAUAAAGACCUGAUGAGAGCUAAACUUCUAGUUAGUAUAUUUAAUCUUAUUUCUAAUUAUCCUAAACCUUUCUCUAGAAGACUUCUGCACUCUUCAAACUUACUAUUGACACACUCACUAGUUUUGUUGAUAACACAAUAUGAUCUGCAAACACCAAGAACCAUGGAUGAUAGAACCUCAUUUGAUAUUUUAUUGCCUAUUGGUUAGCACAUCUAUAGUUAUGGUCAAGAAGUACUGAAUUCAAGGUAGGUCUCUAAUGUAACCCACCAUUAUCUGAAACUCCUCUGUAUCUCUCUCUAUUCUUCUCACACUUGAAACUAUUCUCUUGCAUAUAAUAUUUGAAGGCAUUUAUAAAAGUAAUGAUUUCUUCUCAUGCACCUAUCAAAAGAUCUUUCUUGACACUUCAUAUGCUUUCUCUAGGUCCACGAAUAUUACAUGGAACCCUUUUUUCUCUUGUUAUAAACAUCCAUCAAUAUAUUUAAGAGAAAAUAUAGCAUCUCCUAGGAUAAGCUUUACUAGCUGCGCCACAUAAUAACCAGAAGGAGAAGAAGAAAAAAGAAACACACACAACGAGAAAAAAAGGAAGAAGCAUGUCAAGAUAAUAACACUGUAAUUUCUCGUCUAACCACAGAUUAUCCAACAUUAAGAAACUCUAGAAAUGAAGUAUUCCAGCUAUGCAUAGUGAAAUAAGCAUUUGUAAUACAUCCUAGCUUGCAUCUUUCCUGGUCAAGAAAUAUGAAUUAUUUGGGACAAAGCGACAAACUUUUCCAAGAUGAGCAAACAUAGUAAGAGUACUACAUCUACCAUUGGCAAAAUCACUUCAUAUAGCAACUCCUUGAGAUUAAAUUACAGUCAUUUCCCAGGGAGACCCUGGCCCCUGAACUCUCUUGCAGCUCCAACUACUUUCCUUACUCUCCUACCACCAUCAUUUUUCUAUAUCAAGGUUUUACUCAGAAAUAGAUAGUAAACUAGUGUCUUAGGCUGCUACUUUUUUUUUCUCUCUCUUUUUUUCCCCUGCCAAAAGCAAGCCAGAAAUACCUCUGCAAAAGAAAACCAUUUGAAAUUUUCCUCACCCCAAAUUUACAACUAACUAAUCCUUGCAAUUGCAGAGAUAUCAUUUGACAGCUUUGCCUCAUACUGUAUGUGUCUAUUCAAAGGUUGUUCUGAGCAUUAAGAAUUAUUCCUCAGAUGCUGUAUUGCUAUCUAUCAGCAAGUAUCAAAAUGGGAUGCUAUAUAAUGGUAAGAAGUCAAGUAAAGCUCACGCUCUUUGAAUUGAGGGAACUGCAGAUUUUGUGUUCAUCUCUUGUGGCAUUGGCCCAAUGCAAACAUUAAUAAAAUAUUACAUUAAUAAUCAAAAAGAAAAAAGUUCACAUUCUUCUACAAUGAAGGUCAGAAAUGUAAUAAAAUAAGUCUGACCGAAGGCAUAAUAUUGAUCUUUUUUCUUGACCUUGCUAAUGCGGAAAAAAAAUCUCACCUGAUAGAAAGAGCUCACUUAAGUAGACACAGUUAGUAGAAUUCUCGAUCCAUCAUUUUCAAACAAAACAUAAAUGCAAAAUGAGUAUUACCAACCUUCAAGCACCAAAUCAAAGACUUUUUCUUCAAAUGUAAUUACAACAUCGAAGGGACCAUCAGCAGCAUUAUCCUGCCAACGUUGAGGUGCAAGCUUUACACCCAAGUUCCUUUUCAGCAUAGGCAGUAUUCCAUUUCGUUUGUACCUGGAAAUUGAAAUUGAGGCUCAACCCUAAUUUGAAUUAAAACAAGAGGAUUCUGAAAAUAAAGCAAUAUCAGCCAUCUCAAAGUAUAGAAACACGGUGGAGGUUGUGACUUUUGUCCUGAAAAGGAACACACCACAUUAUCAUGGCGUGGAACAUUUGAGAAUUUCGUAUUCCAGAAUAUGCAACUUUACCCAUAUUCAGAAGUCAAAAACUAAACAAGUGCUAAAAUUUAUCCGCAAGAAUAAAACAACUCCAAAUACACAUAAAAAUCCUGUUACAGACCCCCUGUCUCAUGUGAAAUAAUGAUAGACACAUUUUCCCUAAAAAGAAACCUCCAUUGGCGUCUAACGAAACGAGAAGUUCUUGUAAAAUUUAUACUUAUAUGAAUACCCUUACAUUAACUCCUCCGAUUUUAUUAUGCUAAUUGUCCAUUAAGGUAAGGAAACUAGAACAGGAUAUUAGGCAUCCAAAAGCUUCAAGAAGAUAAUUCAAAUCCUAGCAGAUGGAAAAUCCUUAAAUUCACUUCGUGCAGCGCAAAUAACAGACACUACACAUAUUAGGGUUAUUUAAUGGUAACUGAAUUGAGUGACACACGAAAUUUUAAACACAGAGAGUUCAAGGAAUUAGCAAAAGGAGACGAUAAUUAGAAAAGGCAUAAAUGCAAUUUUGGCUUACAGUUCGACGUCUUUGCGGCGGAGGUCAUCGAACAUCUGCUUAUAAGGAGUGCCGAAGUCGUAAACAUUUGGUUCCCUAAUAGAAGGACCAGGAAGCUUUACAUGUUGCCCAGUGCCAUAUGAGGCCACAUCAAAUCCCUCCCUUUUCAGUAGACAAUGUGACUCCAUGCUCCGAUUCUGAUUCGACGAGCACACCAUUGCAUACCGGAGCUUCAUAACUGAUUCCGGCAGUGCUACUCUUGUAUUCCAGAUGAGACGAAUUCGUCGAUAGCUACACGUUCUGGAAUUUGCGCCGGCGUCCAGUAGAAGAGGAGAACUUCAAUUCUUGAGCAGAGAUUUUAGUAGGAGUAGUAAACGUGUUUUUGGUGAGUGAAACAACAAGCACAUUUCUUCGCCAGCUAAUUAAUUAAAUUAGUAUAUACUUGUAAUCAUUUUUCUUGUGAAAAUAUCACAAAUUUUUAACAUAAUUAUUAAAUCCAUUUAUAGUGUUAGUUAAUAAUUAACAAUUCUUCGCCAGCUAAUUAAUUAAAUUAGUAUAUACUUUUAAGGGAAAAUGCACCAUUACAAAUAUGUCCAAAAUUUCAGAAAUACACUUUAACUAUUGUAAGAUUCUAUUAUCCUGAACUUAUAAUUUUUGUAAUUUUGUAUAACUUUUUGGUUAACGUGACAUUCAAAUAUCUCCCACGGGCCUUAAUUACGUGGAGUUACGGAAUGUGCCACGGAAGACAAAAGGUGUAUAAAAUUACAAAAAGAAAUAAGUUCGACUAAGACCUUAAUUUAGUUAAGGUGUUUCUCUGAAAUUUUGGUCAUAGUCUAGAAGCUACUCGUACAUUUUCCCUAGAUUUAAUCAUUUUUCUUAUGAAAAUAUCACAAAUUUAACAUAAUUAUUAAAUUCUUCAACCACCUAAUUGUAUGGGAUAUGUUAAAUUUAUAGUGUUAGUUAAUAAUUAACAAAAUAUAACUUUAUAAUUGUUCUAUAAAAGUAAUAUAAUUUUAUAAACGUCAAAUAAAUAGACUAGUUAUAUAAUGUGUAUACAAAUUCGAUAAAACUAUUCAUUUUUCUCAUAAAAUAUUAUUAUUUUAUCGCAAUAUAAAGUUAUUUCUUUGAUGCAGAAGAGAGUAUCUAGACACAUGAGAAGCUAGGAGGACAAACUGCAAUGGAGUUUUUCAAAUAGAAUCUAUAGAAAUGGAUCACUCACGGAAUAUUGGGUUGGAUGUAUGUAUCGAAUAUAUAUCUAUCUUAUUUGGAAUUAAAAGGGCUCAAGGCCAUUAUCACAAAAGUGCAUAUAUGUGGCAACGAGAUUAAAGGAAAUAGGCCUUUCCAAUCGCAUAUUAGGAGACAAUUCAUACUAUUACUUUAAAAAAUGAAUGAAAUUAUGUAUAAUGUUCAUUGCUAAUUUAUUGUUAUUUUUCUCAUAGCUAAUAUAAAUUUAUUGUUAGUAAUAAAUUUUGUUGUUUAUUUUCGUGUUAUUAAAAUUAUUUUUCUUAGUGAUGGACUGAAGUGAAAGUCAACUCUUGAUCAAUUAAAUACUUAAUCUGUGUAGAAUAAUUAAUUCUUGUAAAUACUAAAUAUAGCUGACUCGUGAUGUAUUUACCUAUUUGUACACUUCAUAAAAUUUUUAAUUUAUCCAUUACCACACAAUAAAAUUAAAAAGGCAUUUGUUAAACUUAAUUUACUAUAAUGCCCUAAUCCAUAUCAUCAGAGGAGUCGUUUGGCUGAUAACAAGUUAUCACAAGAUUAGUUAUUUUUGAAUUAACUAUUAUGAAUAAUUUAUCCAUCAUAUAUAUUUAGAUAACUUAUUCGAUUAUGACAUAAAUGAUGAAUAAGUUAUCCAAAUAUAACAAUUAAAUAAAAUACGAAAAUUUAUUUCUAUCACUAUUUUUUAUCCCAUUACUAUUAAAUUUAAUCCUUAGUACCAAAUGAACCCUUAGUAUACUAGUAAAACUCAAAUCCUUAGUACCAAAUGAACCCUUAGUAUACUAGUAAAACUCAAAAGCAAUGUUCCAAACAUCUCAAAUGACCACCACUUAAAUUAAUUUCUCUUCAUUAAUUAGGUUCUAUUCGGUUACUCCAUCUAUUUAAAAAAGAAUGUCCUUAUUUACUGUUUAGUUUGUUUAAAAAAUAAUGAUUAUUCUUUUGUAAUAUUUUAACUUUAAUUUUUCACGUGACAUAUUUAAAUCACAAAACUAAAGGGAAUUUUAAUAUAUUUGACAUAACUUUAAUUUAAAAUCAUAAAAUUAAAAAAUUUACUUUCUUUUUUUAAACUCCACUUCAAAUUAAACUUCAUCCUUUUUAAAACGGGACGAGUAUUAAUUUCUCAAAUAAAACAAAAAAACUCUAUUCCAAUAGAUUUUUUUUUUUUUAAUGUUUGGUGAAAAUGAAUGAAGCCACAAAAGAGGUGUUCCACUAGAAAUGAAACGCAUCACCCAUAUUUUCAAUUUCAUGGCUACCACAAUUGUGACCUAUUAACAUCACUGUCAGACGACGCCGGCUCAGAGAUCUCCAGAAGACAAACCCCAAUGCCUAUCCACUAAUACAAAAUAUCAUCUACCAACGCCCCUUAGUCAAUUACCAAAUUAUCCUUUUGCUUCUUUCUGUCUUAAAAAUAAAACCAGAAAAAAUAAUUGAAAAUAUAAAUUAGUUUCAAAUAAUUUAACAAACACUGAAGGGGCCACGUACAUUCAAAUUAAAAAGAAAAAAAAAAGGAAGAAAAAAGCCACUCAUUUAAAUUAGGCCAAGUCGCAGUUUAUUAACCAUUAGUUAGUAUAGUGAGAAAAAUGACAAAGAUGGUUUAUUAUGAUUGAGGAUGAAGUUAAAAUAAUUAUUAUUUAAAUAUGCACUUCAUAAUUUUAUUUAAGGACGAGAGGUACACAAAAAUUAUCUUAUUUUUAUUUAUGACAUAAAAUCAUAUGGUUAAGAAGUUUUAAAAUAAUACUUUUUAGAAAUAAUAUAAAAUAUAAGAUAAUGAAACAUGUAUUUUGUUUUAAUACAAUAAAAAGCAAUACUACUAAUAAAAAGGCUAGCUGCUGGCAUUUUUCACGUGAGCGAUUAGGCUCGCUAUUUAUUGAUUUUCUAUUUGAAAUUUCAACUCUUUAAUAUAAAAUUAUAUUUCUAAUAAAUUAAGGUUUUGAGACAUUUCAUCUAAUUAGUUUAUUAUUCAAUUCUUAUUCUAAGUCUUUUUUAAUUUUCAUUAUUUUUGAAAACUUCAAAAUAACUUCAAGCCCAGUAUCUUUAUCAUAAUCUCUACUAUUCAAGUAAAUAUUGUGUGCGCUAGGUUUACCCGCAGUAUAUAACAAUCUGCAAAUCAUAUAAAAAAAUAUAAAAUUAUAUUAGAUAAAUAUUAUGUAAUAUACUCAAUAAUUAAAAAUUAUUACUUAACGAAAAUUGGAUUUGACUAUAAAACGAGAAAUUAAAAGAAAAGGAGGGUAGGUGGGUGGCAAUCAGACGCGCCCCAGUGUAUUUAUGUAAUUUGACGAAAUGUGAGGUUCUUUUCUGUGCAAAAGAUAAAUAAGUCACGUUGGUGAGUGGGGACAAAUAGGCAAGUUCCAUUAUAUACAUCAAUCUUUUUAGCGUUGAACACUGUUAACUUUCUCCUAAAACGAACAAUCGUCGGUCGCCAUUCCGAACGAAGCUCCAUAUUUGUAUCUGCUACUACUUCCUAUAUUCAAUUUUCAGCUCUUUAAUUCUUAUCCGUAAGUGUUUUUGUUCUAUAAUUUUCAUUUUCUCUGAUGUUACCAAUGAUUUAGGGUUUUUGGUUUUGCUGAUUGUUGCUGUGAUUUUAUUGAUUGUUUCAGAAUGGAGACGGCCACUGCUUUCCGAUCUGGCUUCAGCAUCUGUAACAGAGCCACCAAGGCGGCUCUUGGUGGGUCCGAUUUUGUUCGAGUCGGGUCACAGCUUCCGAUGUCUCCUUCUGGGAUCAAGGUAUAAAGGAACUCUGUUUUUCGUACUUAUCUGCUUUAUUUUAUUAUAGUUCUGGUGUUAUUUUGUCAUUUGCAAAUUUUUUCUUCCAGUAUCUCUACUUAGAUGAACCGGAAAAUGAAGCAACUAUGAAUUGUCUAGCUUUGGAGUAAACAGGAUGUAUUAGUCCAAAUUGAAGAUAAUUUUUGAUGUUUUAGAUUAUUAUUUGUAAGAAAUAGGGCUGAUAGGGUUUCAACAUGAAAGCUUGUGAGACUUUUGAAAGGGAACAUAUAUAGUUUAACUGCUACCAUCCUAUAACAGGAAAGAAGAGAUAUUACCAAGCUCUUUGUCAUUUCUUGAUGAAGUUCUUGUUAAUUUUAUGGAAUUGCAUAGUUCUUUGUGUUAUUGUUGUAGAAUCCUCCGGUUUCCUUUAGACACCUACGUGUUUGAUAUAUUGGAAGGAUGGUAGUAGUAUGUAAUGCCUCCAGAGCACGUUAAAACUAUAGAUUGUCGAAAAUAAGAUGUGUACCCAUGUUUUAUAUAGACAUCCUCUUUUUGACUAUUACCCUAAAGUUUGUAAAACAUGGUGAUGUAGCCAUGCUUUCAGUUGCCACUACUCUAUGAAUGUGUUAGUGUAAUUGAUGUCUUCUUGCAGUUUCUACUUAACCAAUAGCUCUUUCAAUCUUUCCUCACCUAUCAUGUAGGAAAAUGGUGUCUGCAGAUUUACUGAAAAAGACAAAUUGUUGCAUGCCUACUCAUAUCUUUGUUUCUCCUUUAGUCUAAAUUUAUACCUGAAUAUCUGAUACUGUCUUUUGGACAUGUGUCAAAUUGUUGGUCUUGGAUUUCUCUGCUGAAUUUGUUUGAGUAUGUGCUGGGUUCUUGCAAGUUUCUUUUUCCAUUUGGCGUAUGUUUUGGUUGAAUAUGGUAGCCUUACAAAUUUUAUGCUUUGAACGUGCAAUUCUUUAACUGUGUAAAUAUAUCUGUGUGCAUUGUCCUGUCGCUGAUUUUUCCCAUUUAGGGAGGUGCCUCAACAUGCAUUGACUUGUGUAAUCCCAUGUUAGUUCUUUGUAAUCCAUGUAUCCACUUGGAUAUGACUCGAAGCAUCUUAUUCAGUUAGUUAAGAGCUUCCCUUGAGCAAAACUAUAUAUUUAAAUAAGUUUAUGUACUUGGCAUAAAUUAGAAAUCUUAUGAGUUAUGAUGUGAAAUUGUUCUUUGACGCCUAAUGUAUGGACAUUUUCUUGGCAGCUUUAUCCCUCAAUUUCUCAUGUGAAGUUGAGUAACAGGAAAGUGGCUUUUGGUAGCAGGAAAUAUACUGCUAUCAGGGCAUCGGUAUCACCUUCUGAGUCUGGAGGUUCAGCUGCCCCUAUUGCUCCACUUCAGCUGGAAUCUCCAAUUGGCCAAUUUCUGUGUCAGAUUUUGACAAGUCACCCACAUCUUGUCUCAGCUGCUGUAGAUCAACAACUUGAACUGCUAAAAAUUGAUCGUGAUGCAGAGCAACAGAAGGAAGAGCCAUCUAUAGCCGGUACUGACAUUGUUUUGUACAGGUUGGUUUAGGCUUCUUUAAAAUCCAUUCCCACCUCACCCAGGAUUUUCCCUGAAACAAUUUAGUUUUCUUCUGUUCUUGUAUUUAUCACUGCUGUUAAGUCUAACUUGUUGCAUGGUUGCUUUUGAAACUAUCAGGAGAAUUGCUGAGGUUAAGGCAAAUGAAAGGAAAAAGACCUUGGAAGAGAUAUUAUAUGCCUUGGUGGUCCAGAAAUUUAUGGAUGCCAACGUAUCUUUAGUUCCUGCAAUAAGUCCAUCUUCAUCUGAGCCUUCUGGUCGAAUUGACACCUGGCCCAGCCAAGAUGAUAAGCUUGAGCAUCUUCAUUCAGCAGAAGCUAACGAGAUGAUUCAAAACCACCUGUCUCUCAUUCUUGGAAGUCGGUUGGGUGAUGAUUCUGCAGUGGCACAAAUAAGUAAAUUAAGAGUAGGCCAAGUUUAUGCUGCAUCAAUUAUGUAUGGAUAUUUUCUCAGGAGAGUGGACCAGAGGUUUCAGCUGGAAAAGAGCAUGAAAGUCCUUCCUCCGGGUGUAGACAAUGAAGAUAGUAGCAUCCAGCAAGUGGCAGGCGAGGAUAUCAGUGGUGAUAGGAGUGAUACCUCUUUCAGAUCAACAACACAAACCCACCCAGAAUUGACAUCAUGGUCUGCAGGUGGUGUGAGUCCUGGAGGUUUUGGCCAGGGGAUAAAACCCUCAAGAUUGAGAAACUAUGUGAUGUCAUUUGAUGGGGAGACCCUCCAGAGAUAUGCAACCAUCAGAUCUCGAGAGGCCAUAGGCAUGAUUGAGAAACACACCGAAGCACUAUUUGGUAGACCUGAG